AGAGUUUGAUCCUGGCUCAGGAUGAACGCUAGCGGCAGGCUUAACACAUGCAAGUCGAGGGGUAACAGGGUAGCAAUACCGCUGACGACCGGCGAACGGGUGAGUAACGCGUAUGCAACCUACCCAUAACUUGAGAAUAGCCCGGAGAAAUUUCGGAUUAAUGCUUAAUAAUAUUUUGGAGAGGCAUCUCUCUGAUCUUAAAGCUCAGGCGGUUAUGGAUGGGCAUGCGUGCCAUUAGUUUGUUGGUGAGGUAACGGCUCACCAAGUUGACUAUGAUGGCUAGGGGGUCUAAAAGGAUAAUCCCCCACACUGGUACUGAGACACGGACCAGACUCCUACGGGAGGCAGCAGUGAGGAAUAUUGGUCAAUGGAGGCAACUCUGAACCAGCCAUGCCGCGUGAAGGAUGAAGGCGCUAUGCGUUGUAAACUUCUUUUGUACGGGAAGAAACCUUUCUACGUGUAGGGAGCUGACGGUACCGUAAGAAUAAGCAUCGGCUAACUCCGUGCCAGCAGCCGCGGUAAUACGGAGGAUGCAAGCGUUAUCCGGAUUUAUUAGGUUUAAAGGGUGCGCAGGCGGAGAAGUAAGUCAGUGGUGAAAGCCUACAGCUUAACUGUAGAAAUGCCAUUGAUACUGCUUUUCUUGAGUAUAGUUGAAGUAGGCGGAAUGUGUAGUGUAGCGGUGAAAUGCAUAGAUAUUACACAGAACACCGAUUGCGAAGGCAGCUUACUAAACUAUUACUGACGCUCAUGCACGAAAGCGUGGGGGAGCGAACAGGAUUAGAUACCCUGGUAGUCCACGCCGUAAACGAUGAACACUAGUUGUGUGCGAUACACAGUACGCGACUGAGCGAAAGCAUUAAGUGUUCCACCUGGGGAGUACGUAGGCAACUAUGAAACUUAAA
rnacentral:rRNA from 1 species